GACGAACGCUGGCGGCGUGCUUAACACAUGCAAGUCGAACGGAAAGGCCCUGCUUUUGUGGGGUGCUCGAGUGGCGAACGGGUGAGUAACACGUGAGUAACCUGCCCUUGACUUUGGGAUAACUUCAGGAAACUGGGGCUAAUACCGGAUAGGAGCUCCUGCUGCAUGGUGGGGGUUGGAAAGUUUCGGCGGUUGGGGAUGGACUCGCGGCUUAUCAGCUUGUUGGUGGGGUAGUGGCUUACCAAGGCUUUGACGGGUAGCCGGCCUGAGAGGGUGACCGGCCACAUUGGGACUGAGAUACGGCCCAGACUCCUACGGGAGGCAGCAGUGGGGAAUAUUGCACAAUGGGCGGAAGCCUGAUGCAACAACGCCGCGUGCGGGAUGACGGCCUUCGGGUUGUAAACCGCUUUCGCCUGUGACGAAGCGUGAGUGACGGUAAUGGGUAAAGAAGCACCGGCUAACUACGUGCCAGCAGCCGCGGUGAUACGUAGGGUGCGAGCGUUGUCCGGAUUUAUUGGGCGUAAAGGGCUCGUAGGUGGUUGAUCGCGUCGGAAGUGUAAUCUUGGGGCUUAACCCUGAGCGUGCUUUCGAUACGGGUUGACUUGAGGAAGGUAGGGGAGAAUGGAAUUCCUGGUGGAGCGGUGGAAUGCGCAGAUAUCAGGAGGAACACCAGUGGCGAAGGCGGUUCUCUGGGCCUUUCCUGACGCUGAGGAGCGAAAGCGUGGGGAGCGAACAGGCUUAGAUACCCUGGUAGUCCACGCUGUAAACGGUGGGUACUAGGUGUGGGGUCCAUUCCACGGGUUCCGUGCCGUAGCUAACGCUUUAAGUACCCCGCCUGGGGAGUACGGCCGCAAGGCUAAAACUCAAAGGAAUUGACGGGGCCCCGCACAAGCGGCGGAGCAUGCGGAUUAAUUCGAUGCAACGCGUAGAACCUUACCUGGGUUUGACAUGGAUCGGGAGUGCUCAGAGAUGGGUGUGCCUCUUUUGGGGUCGGUUCACAGGUGGUGCAUGGCUGUCGUCAGCUCGUGUCGUGAGAUGUUGGGUUAAGUCCCGCAACGAGCGCAACCCUUGUUCACUGUUGCCAGCACGUUAUGGUGGGGACUCAGUGGAGACCGCCGGGGUCAACUCGGAGGAAGGUGGGGAUGACGUCAAGUCAUCAUGCCCCUUAUGUCCAGGGCUUCACGCAUGCUACAAUGGCUGGUACAGAGAGUGGCGAGCCUGUGAGGGUGAGCGAAUCUCGGAAAGCCGGUCUCAGUUCGGAUUGGGGUCUGCAACACGACCUCAUGAAGUCGGAGUCGCUAGUAAUCGCAGAUCAGCAACGCUGCGGUGAAUACGUUCCCGGG
rnacentral:rRNA from 1 species